UCUCAUUUAUAGGGGGAGUAACUGCCUGUUAAUUAUAACAGGAUUCAAAGUCGUCAUUACGGAGAGAUCCCGGCUUUGAAAGCAAAACAAUGCUUAGUGAGACUCUAUAGUUAGAA
rnacentral:misc_RNA from 1 species